CUCUAGGUGCCACAAGUACUCCUUUUCUUUUUGCGAAUACAGACUAACACGGCUGCUACUCUGAAACCAGGCAUAGGUCAGUUACAGUAAGGAUAUACAUAGCUGUUGGCAUGGAGCCAUGGAUGUAGCUGAUAAACUGUGUUUAUUGGGUGAACUGUUUAUAGGAAAAUUGCCUUUAGUGGCUCAUUGCUUAGUUCUGUAGUGAUCUUCCAGCACUUAGAGAAAAGCACAGACCCUUUACCCCAGAGCCCUGAUAAGGUUAGGAUUUGAAGACGCAUUGUUGGAGCAGUUGUAAGAGAUUGUGUUUUAAUUCCCCUUUUGAACUUUUGUUCCAGCCUCUCUUUUUUUUGUUGUUUUGCAGCUUACUUCCCUUUGAUUUGUGGCAAGUUGAAUAGCUAAGUUAAUUGGUCUCCGUGAAUGAUACUUUGAAACCUAGCCCUGAGCUUUAAACUGAUGGCAGCAGAUCCUGCUCCCACACUUGCUACCUUCUCAGUGCCUAUAGCAAUUCAACAAGCUUGAUCCUGAAAUUCAGUUCUUGAAAUAUUGCAUGUCACCUGUGCAAAAUUCUGAAUGUAAAUGUAGCAGGAAGAUCCCGUAAAUAAACCUCAAAGGGGGAAGGUCUCCAUACAGCAGGGUUCUCAAACUGGGGGUUGGGACCCCUCGGGGUUGCAAGUUUAUUACAUGGUGGGUUGUGAGCUAUCAGGCUCCACCCCAACCCUGCUUUGCCUCCAGCAUUUAUAAUGGUGUUAAAUAUACAAAAAAGUGUUUUUAAUGUAUAAGGGGAGUCACACUUGGAGGCUUACUGUGUGAAAGGGGUCACCAGUACAAAAGUCUGAGAACCCCGGCCAUAGAGAUACAGUAAGUAUGAAAUUCCCCUUAGUAGUCAUUUGUUUGAUAUUAGGAUAUGGUCCAUGGUCUUGGUCAGUUCUCCUGAGGAAGAUGACACCAAAUUCAAGGUCUCAUUAUACCCAAAUUUUCUCAAAUGCCAAGAGAAUUCCAUUUUAGUGCACAACCUGCUGAUCAAUGUGGUCACAUGCAUAUGAACACAAAUAACCCAGUCAAGCAUCUGAUGUCGCUUGUACCCCAGAUAUGUUGGACCCCAAGUAACUCUUAAUUCCCCACCAUUUGAAUCAUCGUAGGUGGAUUUUUCCCACAUCUCCUGGAUUAAGAAAACAAAUAUUGAUCACCCUUUUGGGGCAGGAGGGGCAGGAGAAGAUCCCCAGAUAUUUAUCCUAAACUUCCAGGAAUGUCCUUGUGGUGUUACUCCUCAGCUGAAGUAGAUCCUCCCCCAGUCUCUGUGAUACCCAUUAAGUGCAUACACAUUUCAGAUGUCACCUACUGCCUUGACCCCUUGGAAGGAAGUGAUACCACUUAGCAGCUUCAGACAAAAAUUUGAUUUUCCACCGAAUGCAUCCGAUGAAGUGAACUGUAGCUCACGAAAGCUUAUGCUCAGAUAAAUUUGUUAGUCUCGAAGGUGCCACAAGUACUCCUUUUCUUUAUUUAGACAAAAAUCUGUACUGCAGAAGAACAUCUAUAAUGCAGAGUACAAUACAAGUGUCUGAAUGGGGCAUGUUGUACAGGGUAUCAUGGGGAAUGUCUAGAGAUGUUACUGUAAACACUCAAGUAUCAUGGGGCAUGCCUCCAAGACUUCCUCAGGGCAGUCCCCUGGGAGUUGUGCAAGUCCAACGCAAGUCUAGAAUGUUUCAAAGGAGAAACCCCUGCAGCAUAAGCCUGAGCCACUUCUCUUGCUGAUUAUGAUGUUCAUGGGACUAGAUUGGAGGGUUGACAGCGCACGCAAGUCGGGGGGCAGAUACUCCCAGUAAAUUGCUUGGUUAUUCCUGA